rnacentral:piRNA from 1 species
AAUCAUGGGAUGGUUCUGAGAAAUGC